rnacentral:lncRNA from 1 species
GUGAGGUUAAAUAAAGAGUGCAUUUCGAGGGAAUCUACAGCAGAUGAGCGGGAUGUUCAGAAUGUAAGACUGUAAUGACCCCGUUGAGAAGUCAGCGUCGCAGUCGUCAGUCGCGCACUUGUGCUGUCUCUCUUGUUUAGACGAAAGCAUGACGGGAGUUUUGCGACCCUCCAAACAGAGAUCCGGUAUGAAGCGACCUCGAAAUGAGCCUUACAGGGUUUUCGACAAUCAACAUGUUCCGACCGUCCCAUGUGACUUUGCAUCUUUUCGACGGAUGUGUUCAUCGCCCUCUUCGUCUUCCGCAGCCCUGCGGCAAAGCAGAGAAAAACCUCAGAGCAGACACAAGUCCAGGAGCAGAGGAAUCCAGCUGAGAAUGGAGGAGCUGAUGUGCAUUAAGAAAGAACUGACAGUGAUUAAAUCACAGAUAGACGAGCUGCUGGACAGUCUGGAGCGGAUGGACCCUCAAAGCCAAGAGCUGGCCGGUAAAACGCUCCUUCUUUCAUCAUCAGAUGCACCUUGCAAAGGAGACGGUGUGGCGUUCUCUCCGCUCCAUGGCUCUGUGAACAGUGCGGACGAUUCGUCUGGUAGCCCUCCUCCCCUGAGGACAGACAGAGACACACAGAGCCCACAGACUGCAGACAGCAGUGAUGAAGACAGACAGCAUGUAAACACACACACACAAUGGCUAAUGCUCAACUCUUACUCAAACACUUAGGAACAAUGUGAUUAAUGUAAUCGUGAGACCAGAUUAAAUCAAUCAUAUACCCAUAAAUUAAGUCUGCAUUUUUAUAAAUUUACUGUUAAAUUUUCAUAGUUAAAGAAGUUGUGGCCACUGUCAAACGUAGUGAAAUUAAACAUUCUGAAGAUUGUGAAGCUUCUUACUAUUACUGAAGGACAUUUAUAUAUAUAUAUAUACACGUUACAAUUC